UCCAAAUGCUAAACUCAUACAGGAGUAAAUGAUAAUUAGCUGCUUGUCUUAUAGCCACAAUAGGGAGCAACUCACAGCUACAAAUAGUUUGCUGAUUGAAUCAGAAAUUGAAAACAGUAGUGAUUAGCUGUAAAACUACUGGUUAAGGAAAUGCCGUUGAUUACCUUUAUUUGAUAUCAAUCCUUUCAUUUAAAAUGGAUUGCCUUUUUUCAGGUUUUCGGAAGCGGAACAUCAAAACUGAGCAUACAAAUUGCAACAACCAUCCACGUGCUGCUAUUCUCCUCUGCAAAAUUC
rnacentral:lncRNA from 1 species